AGUGAGGUGGCUGAGGGUUAAGCGAUAAAUUGUAAAUUUAUUUACGGAUUUAGAUCCCCUUACUA
rnacentral:tRNA from 1 species